UUUUCCUCGGCUCCGCUCCCUGUUGCUUGUCCCGACUGCGCGCAUCGCUUCAGCACUACUAGGCAUGGAUAUUGUGAAAUCCCUCUGCUCCACUAGUCACGGAACUGGGCCGUACCAGCCCAUAAACUGUUGACAGUGAAAGGCAGGAAACAACACCUGGACAUUAAUAGACUGGUUGAAUUCUUCAUCCCAAUUCAGUGUUUGAGGAAUACAAAUGUGAAUGCUUCUGACAUUCAGAUAGCGCAACCCAUCAGGUCUGAAAAAGGAUGUAUUUGAAAGCUUCAGGUGUGGAAGUGAGACUGAGCUACACUUUAGUCUUUGGAUUUCUGCUGAAUUAAAAAAUAAAGACUGAAUUUCAUUCAAGCCCAGGAUGACAUAUGUGGGAACAAGUGACACAAAGAUACAUGAAGCUUCUUUAUAUUCAACUGCUGAAGUGGAAGAGCUGGUCCCAUAACAGAUGGUUACAUUGAGUACAUCCUGUGAAGAGAUCAGUGCCCUCAUGUCCAUUUAAAGAGCAGUUUAGGAAAUCAGACCUCUGCUGGAGUCAGACCAUGGGGUUACAAAUGACUGUUUCCACUUAGUGUUUCAGAUAAAAUAAUGAGAUGGGGUCAUGAGCACAUUCUCUCCCUGCAUCAACCUCGGGAAAUGAGACAGCAGUUGAUGGACUUACAGAAAGAAGAAAAUGCAUUCUUUUUAUUCUCCAUCUUUCUCAGAAAGUGCCAUAAAAUGAAUCAGACUUAGAGGCUUCAUAAAGUCUCCAAGGAAAAAUUGUUGUUGAUAUUUGCUUCCUGAUGAAAGUCUUCACAUAUACUGGUUGUAGAUGACAGCAGUAAUGCUCAAGACAGAAUGACUGACAGAAGCUGAGCUGAAACCUCUGACUGAGUCAGCAAGAAUAUUUCACUCACACUUGGAGAUGUGGAUUUUUCCCUUAUGACUUUUCUGUGGAUUGUAUCCAAAGGAUAAUCAGAUUUUAAAGAAUUUUGAAAUUCCUUAUUAUAUAUUUUACUUCCUUUAUUUAAGAGACUACACAUAUAAUGUCUGUAGUAUAAGGAAAAGAAUAAGCAUAUUUGAUACACUGCUUUUCUAACACUAAUAUUUUAUCUCAACACAUUAUUGAUUCUAUGUAUUACUGAAAUGACUCCUUAGCCUGAGAAACAUUAUGCUGACAUUUGCUGCUCAUCACCACUGUCACUUCAUAUGAUUUUCUGUUUAUUCUACUUUGAUAACACAUGUAUUGUGUCCUGGUUUUGUCUGGAAUAGAGCUAAUUUUCAUCAUAGCAUGUGGGAUGGGUGAGAAUAAAGCUGAUUAAAC
ensembl:lncRNA